UACGGCGGGGGCAAGCGUUGUUCGGAAUUACUGGGCGUAAAGGGCUCGUAGGCGGCCAACUAAGUCAGACGUGAAAUCCCUCGGCUUAACCGGGGAACUGCGUCUGAUACUGGAUGGCUUGAGUUUGGGAGAGGGAUGCGGAAUUCCAGGUGUAGCGGUGAAAUGCGUAGAUAUCUGGAGGAACACCGGUGGCGAAGGCGGCAUCCUGGACCAACACUGACGCUGAGUGAGCGAAAGCCAGGGGAGCAAACGGG
rnacentral:rRNA from 1 species